rnacentral:rRNA from 1 species
CGCCUACGGGGGGCAGCAGUGGGGAAUAUUGGGCAAUGGGCGCAAGCCUGACCCAGCAACGCCGCGUGAAGGAAGAAGGCUUUCGGGUUGUAAACUUCUUUUAUGAGGGACGAAAGAAAUGACGGUACCUCAUGAAUAAGCCACGGCUAAGUACGUGCCAGCAGCCGCGGUAAUACGUAGGUGGCAAGCGUUAUCCGGAUUUAUUGGGUGUAAAGGGCGUGUAGGCGGGAGCGCAAGUCAGAUGUGAAAACUCAGGGCUCAACCCUGAGCCUGCAUUUGAAACUGUGUUUCUUGAGUGCUGGAGG